ACGUCGUCCGUGACCAAGCCGUCAGGUUGCCAGGCGCCACCCCCCUCCUGAGUUUUAUCUCCGUCGCGGCUGUGGGCUGUGUUUCCCGACCCCUCCCUUUGGAGGGACUGCGGCUCGACCCGCUCGGAUCCUCUGCGGGACGGUCUCCCCGAGCAAUGGCCGGUGGCGGCCUCACCCAGGAACGUUCGCGGGACUGCUGCUGCUGCCAAGCCCAGAGACCGCGGCCGGGCUCCAGCCCGCCCCAGAGAAAGUUCACGCGAUGGCGUAGCAGCGGCGUUUCAGGGAUCAUGGAAAAUCACAACACGCAUCUGGCCCCAGGCUUUGCCCUUAACGACCUUGUUCCACCACCAGCGAAUGUGGUUGUUCUCCGGGGUCUGCUGGGCCCGGGUGGCCACACAGCCUCGACCAGAUGUCCUCCCAGCAGGGGAACCGCCUCUCCCCGUGUGGCCUGAGGAUAACUGGACUUCACUCCGCACCUGGGGAUCCUCCCUUCUCACCAGAGCCCCUCCAGGUGCUCAGGAGACUUCGUGGAAGAUGGGCUGGUUCAUGAAUCUUCAGCAGCAUUGACAAGCUACAGCCCACAGGCCAAAUCCGGUCCAGUGUCCGCUUUGGUACGUCUCACAAGGCCCAGCCCAACCUCCCACACUGCCUUCGCGUCUCUCCUUGGCAAGUAAGAGCCACCCCGUCUGCAUCAGGACCUCACCCGGCCUCAGCUCCCUUUUCUCAUUAGAGUGUGUUAGAAACUAGACGGCAGCCCCGACACGGAAUCACUCAUGCCAAGCCCCACAUCGCCAAACGAAGACUUAAUUACAGUUCUGGCUCUCCCAGAAAUGGAACCUUAAACCAGUCAGUCAGGAAUUGCCUGAUCAGAUGAGUUACCUCAUCUGCCCGAUAAACCCGUGCCGUCCCCUGAAAGACAGUAAGCAGCUGGCCGUAACCAACCCGCUUUUUUGCCUAGUACGGCUCCCCUCUUCCUGCUCCCUCUGGCUGCAAAGUCUCUUGCCCUGUACCGCUCUUCAGAGCUCCCUUCUACCUACUAGAUUGGUUGUUGCCCAAUUCAUGAACCGUUGAUGGAAGCCAGGAAGAUCUUUAAAAUCUAUUCAGUUGAGG